UACGGGGGGAGCAAGCGUUGUUCGGAUUUACUGGGCGUAAAGGGCUCGUAGGCGGCCAACUAAGUCGGACGUGAAAUCCCCAGGCUCAACCUGGGAACUGCGACCGAUACUGGUUGGCUUGAAUUCGGGAGAGGGAUGCGGAAUUCCAGGUGUAGCGGUGAAAUGCGUAGAUAUCUGGAGGAACACCGGUGGCGAAGGCGGCAUCCUGGACCGGCAUUGACGCUGAGGCGCGAAAGCCAGGGGAGCAAACGGG
rnacentral:rRNA from 1 species